rnacentral:rRNA from 1 species
UACGAAGGGGGCUAGCGUUGCUCGGAAUCACUGGGCGUAAAGGGUGCGUAGGCGGGCCUUUAAGUCAGGGGUGAAAUCCUGGAGCUCAACUCCAGAACUGCCUUUGAUACUGAGGAUCUUGAGGCCGGGAGAGGUGAGUGGAACUGCGAGUGUAGAGGUGAAAUUCGUAGAUAUUCGCAAGAACACCAGUGGCGAAGGCGGCUCACUGGCUCGGUACUGACGCUGAGGCACGAAAGCGUGGGGAGCAAACAGG